ACUCCUACGGGAGGCAGCAGUGGGGAAUAUUGCACAAUGGGCGCAAGCCUGAUGCAGCCAUGCCGCGUGUAUGAAGAAGGCCUUCGGGUUGUAAAGUACUUUCAGCAGUGAGGAAGGUGGGUAUGUUAAUAGCAUAUUCAUUUGACGUUAGCUGCAGAAGAAGCACCGGCUAACUCCGUGCCAGCAGCCGCGGUAAUACGGAGGGUGCGAGCGUUAAUCGGAAUUACUGGGCGUAAAGCGCAUGCAGGUGGUUUGUUAAGUCAGAUGUGAAAGCCCGGGGCUCAACCUCGGAAUUGCAUUUGAAACUGGCAAACUAGAGUACUGUAGAGGGGGUAGAAUUUCAGGUGUAGCGGUGAAAUGCGUAGAGAUCUGAAGGAAUACCGGUGGCGAAGGCGGCCCCCUGGACAGAUACUGACACUCAGAUGCGAAAGCGUGGGGAGC
rnacentral:rRNA from 1 species